rnacentral:rRNA from 1 species
UACGUAGGGAGCAAGCGUUGUCCGGAAUCAUUGGGCGUAAAGCGCGCGUAGGCGGCCCCGUAAGUCCGCUGUGAAAGUCAAAGGCUCAACCUUUGAAAGCCGGUGGAUACUGUGGGGCUAGAGUCCGGAAGAGGCGAGUGGAAUUCCUGGGUGUAGCGGUGGAAUGCGCAGAGUAUCAGGAGGAACACCAAUAGCGAAGGCAGCUCGCUGGGACGGUACUGACGCGUAAGGCGC